UACCGAGGGUGCGAGCGUUGUCCGGAAUCACUGGGCGUAAAGGGCGCGUAGGCGGCUCGGUAAGGUUGCGGUGAAAGCCCGGGGCUCAACCCCGGGUCGGCCGUGGCAACUGCUGAGCUAGAGCACUGUAGAGGCAGGUGGAAUUCCGGGUGUAGCGGUGGAAUGCGUAGAGAUCCGGAAGAACACCGGUGGCGAAGGCGGCCUGCUGGGCAGUGGCUGACGCUGAUGCGCGACAGCGUGGGGAGCAAACAGG
rnacentral:rRNA from 1 species